UUUUCGGGGAACGCGAGGGGGAUAAUUCAGUCCCACCUGACCCUUUUCGGAGAUGUGCUCCCUAGGUUAAGUCUGGGUAAAUCUACAGAGCAUCUCUUUUUAUGUGUACUCCAUAAUAUGGCUGAUAUUAUUUUUACUUUUACUUUUGGUCCUACUCAUAAGAUUAAAACAUUUUGGAUUUAUGUGCCCCCUUUUCUUAUCCUAAACCCUUAACAGUUCUUGUCCUUAAAAAGUCAUAUAACAACAUUAUCAAUUUUGCAUAUCAUGCUAUCCUCUCGACAAUCCAUAGAUAAAAGUUGAUAAUCAAAAAGGUCUGUAAUUGUAUGUAUUAUUGUUGUUGUUUGUUAACCUCCUACCACUAGGGGGCGUAGGGUACCGUUUCUAUUAGGCCCCAAGGUCCCUAUAAUCAGUGUUUGGGAAUCAAACAGUUUUUUGCACGUGACGUGGAACAACGUGCGUGACAUGUAGAAUGUAUGUUUCCUCGAAUCUGUGACACUGCUGCCGUCAUUUUGACGUUGCAGGGGAUUAGGCUAACAGCGUAGCAUUUCAUAGUGACGUCAGCAGUGCAAAUGCCCGGUAAUAUCUCCAUUUGAAUUAGUCCAUGUUUAAUACAUAACGUCGAUGAUUUCUGGCAUAAGAUAUUUACGUGCAGAGCACAACAGAGCUGUGCUUUUUGCCGUACAUGAUGAAGAAUAGAGGAUCCAUGUGCAACAUGGGGUUUUCACUUGUCGUAGGCAAUGAAUUGUGUUUCUUUUGCUAUUUUCAAUGAGGCCACUGUCACUUUCACAUGAUAUCAAGAGUUAUCAGAUUUGACAACAGAGUGUGGUGGACCAGGGGGAGGGAACGAGCACAGGAGGCAGAUCUCCAGGCUCUGAUUGGGGGAGGUAAUAAUUAUCCUGUGCAGGUGCUGCAGCCACUGGGGACGUGGCAUUGGUCACACCUGCGAGCGAUCAGGACGAAGGAGGCGCGGAAUAGACCGGCGUCACUAGCCCAGCGCUGGAGCCCUACUUCUACUUUAUUUUGGCCUUAUUAUUAAAAGGACCCUUUUUGUUUUGGACUUCCGGCCUCUGAGACGCUUAUUUUAUGCAGGGAGCUGGCCUCCCUCACCCGGGGUUGCCACAGAGAUACCAGAGCAAGAUCUGAUAAGCUUGCCCGCAUGAGGGAUGUCUGAAACAGGUGGGUGCAGCUCCUUCCACUGAUGUUAAACCCAGGGCCACAGGUGACAGUGGAUGAACGUCUUAUCCUUUUACGAGGAAAAUGCCCCUUCCGACAUUACAUACCCAGUCAGCCAGGGCCGUACGCCAUAAAAAAUCGGGGCAGCAUGCAAAAACCAGCGAUGCCGUGAAUCUACAGAUUCACAUUGGGCAAAAGCUGAAAGCUUUCACCACUGUUUAUAUUGUCAUCUGGGCAGCAGCACGCCAGACACUAAUCCGACAGGGGACAGAGUUCAAAGAGCAGCAGACCGCAGGAGGAGGCCAGCACCUGUAUAUCACCCCGGCCAAGGAACGACCCUUACAGGUUGAAUCACGAAAGCUGGCUCCACGCUUUGUCGGCCCGUUCCCCAUCUCAAGGAUAAUGAACCCAGCAGCGGUGCGCCUGCCCCGGUCCCUCAGGGUACACCUUGCGUUUCAUGUUAGCAAGAUCAAGCCAGUCAAGGAAAGCGCAAUGAUGCCGAACCCCAAGCCACCCCCACCCCCUGGAAUGAUCGACGGGGGCCCGUCUACACGGUGAAGACACUAUUGGCAGUGCGUAAGCGGGGCCGGGGCAGGCAGUUCCUCGUGGACUGGGGGGGGAUACGGCCCAGAGGAAAACCAAUGCGUCUCUCCUAGCCUCACCGUAGACCCGGAUCUCAUUCAGGGCUUUUAUUCCAAGGCCGCCUGGUAUUCGGCCUUGGGUGGGGGAUAAUGUCACACCUGUAUGUCAAGUUGAGUUUUUAUCCCGUCUCCAUGUUGGUUUUUGUGACUUCCUGUUUUAUUUUGGAAAUGAACUCUGCGCUCGUUUCAGGUUCCUUGCCCUUCAUGUGUCACCAGUCUGAUUGUGUCCUGUUCCCACACUUCCCCAGGUACUUGUCGCUUUUUGGUGAAAUUUGCUGUUGUAAAAUCAAAAUUUGCUUAAUACUUAUGACCAUUUCAUAUCUUUCAUAUUUCUUUUUUAAUACAUUUCUACAUUUCAGUUUUUUUCUGUGAAGAUGGGGUGACGAGUGUACAUUAAUGAGAAAUAAAAUGAAACAGUGAAAAUGUAGAGGGGUCUGGAUACUUUCCGUACCCGCUGUAUGUGCUUGUACUGAAGGUGGGUUUGUUCUGCUAUGUCAUGUCUGCUCUAUUGUCGUACACUUUUCUUAUGCUGUUUGUUGGUUUUAUUUUAGGCUGCCUUAUUUGGCCUCAGAUGAAAAUUAGCCUCUCUGGCUCACUUACAGUACAACUGUUGAUUGUUGUGAACUGUCCCUGCAAAAUAAAUGAAUUGACAUUUA